AAGCUUGUGCAGUGGCAGUAUCAUAGCCAAUGAGGUUUAUCUGAGGCACAGUUAUUGCUAAUUGAAACA
rnacentral:snRNA from 1 species